rnacentral:rRNA from 1 species
UUCCAGACUCCUACGGGAGGCAGCAGUGGGGGAUAUUGCACAAUGGGGGGAACCCUGAUGCAGCGACGCCGCGUGGGUGAAGGAGUAUUUCGGUAUGUAAAGCCCUAUCGGCAGGGAAGAAGCAAGACGGUACCUGACUAAGAAGCCCCGGCUAACUACGUGCCAGCAGCCGCGGGAAUACGUAGGGGGCAAGCGUUAUCCGGAUUCACUGGGUGUAAAGGGAGCGUAGACGGCGACGCAAGUCUGGAGUGAAAGCCCGGGGCCCAACCCCGGGACUGCUCUGGAAACUGCGUCGCUGGAGUACGGGAGGGGCAGGCGGAAUUCCUGGUGUAGCGGUGAAAUGCGUAGAUAUCAGGAGGAACACCGGCGGCGAAGGCGGCCUGCUGGACCGUGACUGACGUUGAGGCUCGAGAGCGUGGGGAGCAAACAGGAUUAGAUACCCCAGUA